CAGCCGCCACGGGAAUACGUAGGGUGCAAGCGUUAAUCGGAAUUACUGGGCGUAAAGCGUGCGCAGGCGGUUAUAUAAGUCAGAUGUGAAAUCCCCGGGCUCAACCUGGGAACUGCAUUUGAGACUGUAUGGCUAGAGUGUGUCAGAGGGGGGUAGAAUUCCACGUGUAGCAGUGAAAUGCGUAGAUAUGUGGAGGAAUACCGAUGGCGAAGGCAGCCCCCUGGGAUAACACUGACGCUCAUGCACGAAAGCGUGGGGAGCAAACAGGAUUAGAUACCCCGGUAGUCCCUGUCUCUUAUAC
rnacentral:rRNA from 1 species